CUUGGUCAUUUAGAGGAAGUAAAAGUCGUAACAAGGUCUCCGUUGGUGAACCAGCGGAGGGAUCAUUACCGAGUUUACAACUCCCAAACCCCUGUGAACAUACCACUUGUUGCCUCGGCGGAUCAGCCCGCUCCCGGUAAAACGGGACGGCCCGCCAGAGGACCCCUAAACUCUGUUUCUAUAUGUAACUUCUGAGUAAAACCAUAAAUAAAUCAAAACUUUCAACAACGGAUCUCUUGGUUCUGGCAUCGAUGAAGAACGCAGCAAAAUGCGAUAAGUAAUGUGAAUUGCAGAAUUCAGUGAAUCAUCGAAUCUUUGAACGCACAUUGCGCCCGCCAGUAUUCUGGCGGGCAUGCCUGUUCGAGCGUCAUUUCAACCCUCAAGCCCUCGGGUUUGGUGUUGGGGAUCGGCGAGCCCUUGCGGCAAGCCGGCCCCGAAAUCUAGUGGCGGUCUCGCUGCAGCCUCCAUUGCGUAGUAGUAAAACCGUCGCAACUGGAACGCGGCGCGGCCAAGCCGUUAAACCCCCAACUUCUGAAUGUUGACCUCGGAUCAGGUAGGAAUACCCGCUGAACUUAAGCAUAUCAAUAAGCGGAGGA
rnacentral:rRNA from 1 species